ensembl:piRNA 21ur-14232 ncRNA
UUGAUUGGAAUCCCUGUCACU